rnacentral:lncRNA from 1 species
CCGUUUUGUAUCCGUUACGUGUCCGUUAUACAUCCGUUGGAGGUCUGGAAGAUAAAUUCACCAACGGACUUCUACCGGACGUUUAACGGAUAAAACGGACGUUGAACGGAUGAGAACAGCUUCUACCGGACGUAUAACGGAUAAAACGGAUCAUGAACGGAUCUGAAACGGAUAAAUGCCAAUUGAAAAUUUCGCGUGAGAAAUGCCAAUUAUUGGUUUGUCAGAUUUCUUAAGGUUCAUGAGUUCAUAAUCGAUCUUAGAGUAUAGGCACGUCUUCACAGUCAAGCAGUUCUUAUUCAGGCCAGACACUGCCCUUUGGAGGAAUUUUGAAGAACAAACCAAAACCAGUUACACAGAAACAUUUUGAAUAUUUAUGCGAUUUACAUGUAUUAUUAUUGUCGCCUUUGAUUUUUCAGUAAAUCUUGUUCAUCCGUUUUAUCCGGUACGCUUCCGUUAGGUGUCCGUUUUAUGCGGUACUCGUCCGUUGGAUGUACAUUCGACAUCCGUUCUGUCCGGUACGUUUCCGUUUCUCGUACGUUGCAUAUCCGGUGUGUGUCCGUUAUGCAUCCGUUACACGUCCGUUUUAUUCGUUCAGUACAUCAACGGACUCCCAACGGAUAACAAUUUUGUCAACGGACAACUUUUAUUUUCAUCCGUUAGGCGUCCGUUCGUGCUAUCCGGUAAGGUGUGACCGAGGCUUUAAGAU